AGUGAACGCUGGCGGUAGGCCUAACACAUGCAAGACGAACGGCAGCACAGUAAGAGCUUGCUCUUACGGGUGGCGAGUGGCGGACGGGUGAGGAAUACAUCGGAAUCUACUUUUUCGUGGGGGAUAACGUAGGGAAACUUACGCUAAUACCGCAUACGACCUACGGGUGAAAGCAGGGGAUCUUCGGACCUUGCGCGAUUGAAUGAGCCGAUGUCGGAUUAGCUAGUUGGCGGGGUAAAGGCCCACCAAGGCGACGAUCCGUAGCUGGUCUGAGAGGAUGAGAAGCCACACUGGAACUGAGACACGGUCCAGACUCCUACGGGAGGCAGCAGUGGGGAAUAUUGGAAAAUGGGCGCAAGCCUGAUCCAGCCAUACCGCGUGGGUGAAGAAGGCCUUCGGGUGGUAAAGCCCUUUUGUUGGGAAAGAAAAGCAGCAGGUUAAUACCCCGCUGUUCUGACGGUACCCAAGAAUAAGCACCGGCUAACUUCGUG
rnacentral:rRNA from 1 species